AUGUUAAUUUUCCUUUGGGUCUUUGGUGCAUGAAUAAUGUGUUGUCUUUUGUUAUGAAUAAGCACAUACUUGUACAUUUCAUUUAUUUUUUUUCCCUUGUCUCAUUUAUUUGCUAUUAAUGGCAUUAGUUAUUUCUUCCUUCAAGCAUAUACGACACAAACAAUAUGCUCACCUAGCAAAGUUGUUGGUUCCACCUCAGGUGUUUGAUUGUAUUUGUGAUAUUUCCUCUCGUUAUAAUCACUUAUUUUGAUUUAGACAUUGGAGAAAAAAUCACAUUUCUUGAUAGGCUUUGUAUUGGGAUUGGUAUUUCCACGGUAAGAUUGGGUGAUGGCAAGAAUUGACAAUGAUCCAACUAUUAUAAAGGGUUAUUUACAAGAAAUAAAUUGCAGUAAAUCCUUAAUUAUAAGGGGUAGGGACAAUUUCUGACGAAUAGGAUACGCCCCUAUUUUUUUUAUAUAUAGAUAAGAAAAAAAACUUAAGAGCUCAUACGCACGAGGGUAACUCCUAAGUAGUCAUCGUUUACAAUAGACUCUAACUGCGGACUAACACAAGUGUCGAUACAUAGGCUGGGCAAGAAGAUGUCCUACAUUUGAUAUCCAAUAUGCCGCUCUAUUUGCUUCUUUAAACAUGCUGAAUACGAACGCUAUGGAAGUGCUGAAAAAGUAAUAUUAUAUCCUUAAUAAUAUUUUGUAGCUUCUAUAAUGUUUUCCAAACAUUUUUAAAUGUAUUUAUGACAAGGAUACGCCCCUAUUAUAAAGCUAUAAACUUCUACAGUUUUAAACUACACUCUCUUAGUAUUGUAUUGAUAAUAAAUUUCUUGAUUUUAGGUUAUUUUGGUGGCUUAAUUAUUCUUAGGGUUACAGGGUUACAUACUUACAUGAUGUUAUAUCUCUAGCCCUUUACUGCCAUGUGAAACAAACUAUUACACGUACACCUAAAGUAAUUUUACUUAUAAAAAAACAAUAAUAGUUCAUCCGGUUUUGUAUUUGCACAAUUUGAGUUAGUUUGUGCAGUUAGGAUAUGAUAAUUGAAAGAAGUACCCUGAGAUUGGGACAAAAUUUAGAUAAAUUAUAAAUAUCAAAAUUAUCCAAAUGAUAACAAACAAAUAAAUUGAGGAAAACGGAUUAGGUAACAUUAGUAAAUGUGAAAUUUAUUAAGGGUAAAGUGGUUAUUUAACAUGUGAACACAAUAAAAAGAAAUGGUCAACUAAAGAUGCAAUUUUCAUAAAAGAAAAAUAGUGUAAGUUAAAAAACGGAGAAAGUAAGAUUAUUUUACUGAAAUUAAGUUAAUUUUCGACUUAGUUUUGACAUUAUUUAAUAGUUUAAAUUACAUUAUCAACAUAACUAAGCUUUUUAUUUCGGAAGGAAAAUGCAACAUUUACAUAGAACAACACUAGGAAACAAUUAAGCAAUAUCCGAAUUGCCCGUUUGAGGUCGCUGCAAUAUGUUCAGAGGUGUAUAGGAUAGCUUUAGAUAUGGAAAAUGUAAUAGUUAGGAAGAGCCCUAGGGAUAAUAUCAGAAGAGCCCAUGACUUAGCGGUGGAAGCCAGAAAGAAUGGGCCGUAGGAGUUUCUUGUUGUUUUGGUCUUUUCUUUGUUUUUCUUUGCUUGUUUGUAUCUACUGUCAAAAAAAAAAAAAAAAACUAGGAAACAAGGUAUUGAGUCAAAUGAAAAGAUAAGAAGCAUCAAUUAUACAUUAUCUUUGUAUGAUUUAACAUUUCCACAAUUACAAAACGGAGGUCAUCGCAAGGCUACAAAGUACAAAGGUUAGAAUUUGACGGUGGUCGAUGAGUGCCAAUAAUUUUCUGCAAGUAUCUUCCUAACCGCACACGUGUAACAAAUUUUACGGUUGACAAGUUUCUUUCCCAAAAAAGAAUCCGCUUUGAGCCGUUUAUUUCCACUGGGCCGGACAUGUCACAAAGGUGGGCCCAAUAAGGAUUAUAGCCCAUUGGUUAGGGCUGGCGUACAUAUGACUACGUUUAGUGGAAGUCCAAUCCUAACACAUAUAAAGGCUUGAACUCUCAUUACUAUUCAUUUUAUCGAAUUUUUAAGUUUUCUGUGACAUUUGAAUUCUAGAAUUUGUAACCUGAACUUUUAAAUUUGGAUUAUAGUUUUAAUUUUGAUUAAUUCAGAUCAUGAUAUGCUAUAAAAUCCCGACCUUUCUAUAGUAAGAUGCUUUGUAAUAUGGGAUCAAUAAGGUAGGUUAGGUUAUUCUAGAGGAAUUAUAGGUGUGGUAUGCAAUAUUUGCGUGUUUGGCGAGCUUACAUAUCAUUCCAGUAAGAAAGUAAUGCAAUUCUUGGUGUUUAGGAAGUUAUGUAAUGCCAUAGAAAGAGUUAAGCAAUUUUAAAUUUUCAAAGUAGAAAUGCAAUAGUACAGGAACUUGAAUUCAAAGUUGAUACUGCAGAAAACAAACGGACAAUCUGAACAAGUUUGUAUAGCUUGCAGCAGGUAGAUCAAACACACAAUGUAAAUUAAAAUCAAUACGUAAAUUCUGAAGUUACAACGAUAGAAGAAACUGAUUUCAUGAUUGCAAGAAAAUGAGUUUCAAGAAAUACAAUACAAUUUGACAUUUAGAAACCGAUAAAACUACAAUUUACUAGGCACCUCCACCUCAUUAUGGUCGUGUGGUAGGUCUGGGGUGUUUGCAAAUUGCAAUGGCCAAUGGGAGAGAAACCUACUGCUGGAAAGACUUGUUGUCUAAAGAAACUAGCAUCUGUUGCACCACGGAUGAUAUCCGGGUUUUCAAGUUUCUCACCAGCAUUCUAUUCUGAAGAGCUUCUUCUAAGAGAAACCACCAUGGAUUCGAACUAUCAGCAAUGAAACUCAAUUUGUAGUCAGGGUUUGAUUUUGAUUUUGAUUUUCCGAUUUCGUUCCAUGAGUGAGAGAAUAUCAGAGAGGAGAUGAGGUAUCGGUAUCGGUAUCGUGGUGGUAUCCAGAUGGUGGUAUCCAGAUGGUGAUAAGACUGUUCGAAGCGGGUAUAGUCCGGCAACUUGUGCUUAUGCAUUUGGUUCAUCGAGAAAUAGCAAGAAGACAUACCUGCUGAAGGAGUGAAAGGAAAGUUGCAAGCACUCUGUGGUAUCUACGCGCGUUUGAUCCUGGGGAAGCAUCUUGGUGAUUUCCCGUCCACUGCCUGCAUCAAACCUAAGUAGGUUUUGGCUGGGUUCUUCAGAUGUAAGCUUUUGACUGUGUUCUUGAGAUGUAAGCUUUUGAUUGUUCUUGAGAUGUAUGCCUAUGUUGUGGCGUCUGCCUUGCAUGGUGUAAAGAACAUCGAUCUUGUAAAAGGAUUUCAUGAUUCAGGUUUAGUUAAUCGAUUCAACCUUUUUUUCAACUAUCCUGAUGUUGAUAACUUUUAUCUAAAGCUUGACUAUAUUUCCCCCAUGUUUUUCUCACUUACACACUAAUUGCUUUGAGAAAUAAUAGUACGUGUUAGGGUGUUACUGUAAGUUCAUAUAAUAUCUCAAUGAAGGCCCGAAGCUUGAGUUUUAUGUUAUAUGUUAAAAUGCUACUCACCAGUCUGCAUUAUGUCACUGACAAGGGCAGUUGGGUAUUCAACCAAACUUUCAGUGAAUCUGAAGCCCCUGCACCAACCCAAGAACCAAGGCAAGCUCUUACACCAUUGCAAGAACCUAAGAAAACAGCAAAGAAAGCAAUAACACCUAAGCAAACAACAUCGAAGAAAUGUGCCAAGACUGCACCUUCAUCUAAGAAAGGUCCCGUUCCAAAAAAGGGAAAGAAGACCAGUUCAAUUUCUGCUCUAGUUCCACAGUCACGGCAAAUUCAGUCUUCACAAGCAUCCACUUCUGUGGCAAUGUCGUCUCAUGUUACAGAUUCAGGAAGUUAGAUGCUAGUUUUAGGGUGCUUUUAGAUGUUUGAUUUUGGUUAUAAACAACUACAUCAGUUUAUGUAACGCAAAUAGCCUUUGGACUAUGUUUUUUGUGAUCAAUGGAAAGUGUUUUCCUUUUGACUAAAAUUCCUGCUUCUGUUGCUGCAAUA